UGAGUUUCCUCCAGUUUUUGGUACGCGAGAGCCCCCCGCAGCCGCAUCCCUCUUCUCGCGCUUCUUCCUCCCCACGACCCCACCUCGCCCCGCGCCGCCAUCUCCGCCUCCUCUCUCACGUCCUCCCUGCCGCCAUGGCCUAGCCCACCCUCGUCAUCGACCUUCCCAAGCCCACUCUCUCUCGAGGGUGCUGCUGGUUGCAAUCUGGACGAAGAAAAAGAGACCCUGGAGAAGUUAGAGCGUCCUGGUGGUGGCUAGAUCGAUGCGGUCGACGACGAGUGCCAGUGAGCGACGGGGAGGCCCCUACCUCUCCGCACCUUCUCCCAGGUUCCCGAUCUGGAGCGGGUGGGACGGACACCGGCGAGGCCAGCCUCCCCUUGACACGAAGCUGGAGCAUACUUGGUACAUGAGCCUUGCCGUGAGUGGUCGUGCACGUGCAACGGUGACCUCGACGAGCAGGGCAAUGUCCAGACACGAGUAAGGCACCAAAGAUGACUGGAAGCACUCAAAAAAGUUUACCACGCUGGAGCUAUGUCAGGUUGUAUGAGGGCAGUUAAUGAAUAUACUUGCGACCCUUUUACUCUCAGGUAAAUCACUAAUUAUUACAUGCUCUUUCGACCCUUUGUGAAGAUAGAACGGAAAUAUCAGCUUCACUCUGCAUUUCUUAUAGAUGUACCUAGGAGAAAUGCAGAAUUAAGAAGAGCUAUUUUCAGAACACCACUAUCUGUAUCUCUCUAUAUAUGCGGAACUCAGAACUCUUUUUGAAGAUGGAUGGAUGAACUCCCUUUCCAUCUCUGCUUUUUGUCAGUACAUGAUUGUGCACCUCCUAUGCCUGCUUAAUUGUGUGUUCAUUUUGUUAAUCAAGAAGCAUAUGAUUUUAUGGCUGGGUACGUUGAAAAUAUAUAAAACCUUUCUUCUUUUGGAUAAUCUGUUUCCCUUUCGCUAAUCUUUGUUACUUGCCUACACAUCUAUGCAUACUAUUCACUACUGCUACCAAUCCCAUGCUUGUUUGUUCAGAUACUUGAAUGGUGGAACAUGGCUUUUGUUCGAUGGCGAUUUUCCAUUCUUUGUAUGUGUUGCAUUCUUUUGUCCAAAAAUAGAGAUGUACUUUCUGCAAGAAGAAAAUGCUAAGUCUUUUACUAGCAAAGAUGUCGAUCUUGCACAUUUAUCUUUCUACGCACAGUCUCACUAUCAUCUUGUGUAGUUUAUUUAUAGCG